UUCGAUGAUACGCGAGGAACCGUUACCUGGGCUCAAAUGUAUGUUGACGUAUUCUGAAAGGGAUACUUCUUCGGACAAUAUACAAGGUGCUGCAUGGUUGUCGUCAGCUCGUGCCGUGAGGUGUCGGGUUAAGUCCCAUAACGAGCGCAACCCCUAUCAUUAGUUGCCAUCAGGUCAAGCUGGGGACUCUAAUGAAACUGCCUACGCAAGUAGUGAGGAAGGUGGGGAUGACGUCAAAUCAGCACGGCCCUUACGUCCAGGGCUACACACGUGCUACAAUGGCCGGUACAAAGGGCAGCUACCUGGUGACAGGAUGCUAAUCUCAAAAGCCGGUCUCAGUUCGGAUCGGAGUCUGCAACCCGACUCCGUGAAGUUGGAUUCGCUAGUAAUCGCGCAUCAGCCAUGGCGCGGUGAAUACGUUCCCGGGCCUU
rnacentral:rRNA from 1 species